AGACGGAGGGGGCUAGCGUUGUUCGGAAUUACUGGGCGUAAAGGGCGCGUAGGCGGCUUGUUUAGUCAGGCGUGAAAGCCCCGGGCUUAACCUGGGAACUGCGUUUGAUACUGAUAGACUAGAGGCCGGGAGAGGGUAGUGGAAUUCCCAGUGUAGAGGUGAAAUUCGUAGAUAUUGGGAAGAACACCAGUGGCGAAGGCGGCUACCUGGACCGGACCUGACGCUGAGGUGCGAAAGCGUGGGGAGCAAACAGGAUUAGAAACCCCAGUAGUCC
rnacentral:rRNA from 1 species